GUGAAUAUUUACUGGAGUGAAAAGUGCGACAACUAGCCAAAGAGACCCCUAUAAUGUUGCCACAGUCGCAGUAACAGCAGCAUGUUUACUCGGCACUAGAGGGCAGAUGUUCAGCGGAUCUACAGGUGUUGUUGUCAUCGAGUGUUUGACCACCGCAGACGGUAAUUAGCGGCUCAGCCCUUCACGCUGGGCGCGAUAACAUCAGUGGUUGAAGAUGCGCCCUUAUUCAUCUUCCCGCCAUCAGCGGUCACGGUCCAUUUCCGCUGCACAAACGCCCGCGGAUGUUUUCCUGAUUAAAGCGGCAGAUAGAGCGCCUGUGGGCGGGAUGAGCGGAGUCAAGUGCAGCCUGUCACUGAUGAUGCGGGGAUAUUUUUGGUCGAGGAGAAUGUCCUCCAUUGCUUUAGUCAUCUGCCGUCCACAAGCUUAACAAUAACACACACUCUAAAGACAUCGGGCAGAUGUCCCUGUGGAUGAAGAGUACAUUUUAAAUGUAAGUAUUGUCUUACUCAUAUCUGCUGAUCUAUCCAACCAUACAUUUGGAAAUACUACCAGUCAAAAGUUUGGACACAAUUAAUUCAUGUUUCCCACAAUUUAAAAAAAAAUCUUUUUUCCAAAAAUAAUUGAAAUUAAUUUUGUAGAAAUAAAACACAAUUUGUACACCCAAAAAGGUUUUUAAAGUACAAUUUUUUUUAAAGUACAAAUUUAUUUUAUUGUUGUAUUGUUUUUUUUUUUCAUUAUUUAGUAGGAUCAGAUAUUGAAGGAAAAUGCAAAGCUUCAUAUUUUUAAUGAAUUUACUGCUAUUAUAAAAUGUAGAUAGUAAUAAAAAAAGUAGGUGUACAAACUUUUGACUGUUAUUGUAAGUUUUAAAACUAAAUAAUUAAAAUACAUGGCAAAUAAAUCACACAACUUUUGUGAAAUAGGCCAUGUAUUAAUAGAUUGGUUUAAGCAUAGCAUUAAAAGAUAUUUAGCCACAGAACACAUGAAUGGAGAUGUUAGGAUUCUCUUUAGGGUUAAUGUCCUAUUUUAUAUAUAUAUUCCAUUGUUUUUUUAAUGCAAUAAUUGAUUAAAGGUCUUAACCACCAAUCUUCUUCCAAAUCAGUCAUACUCCAUCUUUCUGAAAUGGCACUGUUUUUUCUGAUGUUAACUAACUGCUAAAACAAUGUUUGCUAAACACUGCUGUGCACAGACAAACAAACUGGUGGCAGGAACAAGUUAGGCCUGAUAUACGAGCCUCUUCUGCAAUUCCUCUCAGAGAUAAACAUCAUUAAUACGCUACAAAGUACUUAGGGGGGGACAUUGGUUGCUACUUUGCUUGGGGGGGUGGUUUACCGUGAGGCAAUGAGCUGUGGCGUUCUCUGCGCUGUGUGGGAUACGUGGCAGAUGUCGAUGACAAAAUCCGCAUUUUCAUGUCGAGAGUGGAACCCUGCCACAUACUCCAACAAUAACAAAUAAAAAACUCAAAUAUGGUUUUACCCUGAAUUAUUUGAAAUGCAUGUCAUGCCGUUAAGAUUUAUGUGGGAUCGUGUGUAACGUUAAAGACCAAAAGGAAGAAAUUGAGGAAAAAGUAAACAUAAAAAAUGUGAAAUUGGUUGAAGCCACAUUUUUACAGUAAUUGUUUGCUUAUGGACAAUUGCUUUUGAACUGUAAGCUAAGAUUUCCUCUACAAAUUAGCUCAAAAAAGACCCAUCGAUGACAGACCUGCAUUUUGUUUAUACAGCAGCUAUUGUGAUGCACAUUCUAGAACAUUAACUUUAUUUUGAUCUGUAAAACUAGUGUCAUAAGUGGAGCAGAUGUACCUGUCAACCCUUUCCACUGAGAAGCAAGCAACAGACGCAUUUUCUGGGAUUUCUAUCUCCACCUGGUGGCUCUCUGCAUGUUCACCUCCAAUCCUUGUAAAUCAAGAGCUGAGAUGUUGAAAAUGAGUCCUUGCUCUUAAAAACUAUUGGAAGCCACUAGGAAGUAAAGAAAAAAACACAAAGAUAAUUUACACAGAGCAGAGAUAUCAUGAAGUGCAAUACUAUUCUACACACGUCCCCUUACACAUACGCACUGUUGCAUAUGACGCUCAGAGUAUAUUUGAACUAUACGACAUAGUCCGGCAACACGAAUAGAGAUAUUAACAGUGUUGACCUUGGCUUGGUUUGUGAGAAUGAUUUGGCCGGAGCCGCCGGCUUGACUCGCUGGUGUUUUGGCUUUAGCUGUGUAUUAAAGAAGAAAAGCAAAAAGCGCAGCUCGACUCCCAGUGGACAAUGUGGUUCUAAAUGGGGGGAUUGUGUGCGAGUCGAGAGUUUCUCCAGGGCAUCAGACCUGAAUGGUACAGUAGCAUGAGCCCAUUUAAAAGUAAUUACCACAGCAUGUUCCAGGGAACGUGUGUAGCCCUGCCAUUCCAUAUGAAUGGUGGAAGAACAUGUUACCAAAACUGACUUUUGUGUGCCGUUAAGGCACGGGAACAGAUUUUAUAUACAUAAUGAGCAACUCACUGCAGUAAGAAAAACAAAUUAUGCAUGGGACAAUAAAGCCUAAUACAAAAGGUUAAAUAUAAACAGCAAGAAAAAAGCAUUUCUGCAAACACAUGACAUGGAUGUUAAUUCAAAACACAUCUUUGUGAGUCAGAAAACAGAGUGCACCACUACAAAAGUAUCAUUCACUGCCAUGAAACAGUGGAUGCAUUUAAUUGUUUGAACAUAUAAAAAUAAACCACAACAAAGCAACACACAUUUUGUACAAAUAAAAACCUGAAAUAGUUCCAUUGUUUUGAUUCGGAAAGGUGGAUACAAGAUUUACAUUGGUAACUAAAACACUGCAAUUUAUGAGCACAGUAAACCUGGUUAAGAAUGUACAUACUCUAUUACCAAAAUAAAACUCAUGGCAUGAUGGUAUGGAUCUUUAAAAUAGCUGCUUAAUAAUAAUAAUAACAAUAAUAAUGUAACAUUUCGUAUUGAUGAGCAGUUGCACUUGAUUUGAUGACAAAUUUUGCUAAGACAAAAAAAUAAACUAUUGCCCAAUGUUAAUGAUAGAAGUGUCCUAAGGGGCUCACAGACUGAUAAAAGAUUUAAAACAAAACCUCUUAAGAAUUAUACAAGUAUAAAAGGCUACAAACAUUAAUAAAUUACAUCACUGACACAGAAAACACUUCACAAGGUGCUAGUAAAAUAACUUUAAAAUCCAUCAGGGGUAUUUUAGCUCAGGCUGGUCGUAGAAACAUUGUUGAUUUUUUUUUUCUCCUUAUCCCCCAUCAUAAAUGAAUCAUAAUACACAUGAUUUUCUGCAUGUAAGGCCAUAUGAGAAUAAAUGUUACACUGUGUAUUUUGUUCUCCAGGCAACACCUUUAGUCUAAUGUAACAGAAUGAAAUGAAAACAAAACAAUGGUUAAAAAAAGUACAGCUAUUGUGUAUCUAACAAAAAAAAUGAAAAACGUAAUGACUAUUUCUAUAUCUUUAUAUAUAUUUUUGUUUGUAAUUAGCAAAAACUAGUAAAAAUGUAUAAUGAAGUAUUAAGGAAAAAAGGAUACAAAAAGUAGUCAUUUAAAAAGCUAUAUACAGGCUACAUUCUACAUACUGUACUGUGAAGCAAUAUAAAUGCAUAUUUCAUUCUAGGGUAAUUGGUGCUGCCUGUGAAACAAACAGAAGA